UGAGGAAUUUUGCGCAAUGGGAGCAAUCCUGACGCAGCAACGCCGCGUGGGUGAUGAAGGCCUUCGGGUCGUAAAGCCCUGUCAGGUGGGAAGAAUGUCCCGGGACUGAACAGGUUCCGGGAGUGACGGUACCACCAGAGGAAGCACCGGCUAACUCCGUGCCAGCAGCCGCGGUAAUACGGAGGGUGCAAGCGUUAUUCGGAAUUACUGUGCGUACAGCGCGUGUAGGCGGUCCCGAAAGUCUGAUGUGAAAGCCCCGGGCUUAACCCGGGAAGUGCAUUGGAAACUGUGGGACUUGAGUACUGGAGAGGAUGGGGGAAUUCCCGGUGUAGAGGUGAAAUUCGUAGAGAUCGGGAGGAAGAUCAGUGGCGAAGGCGCCCAUCUGGACGGUAACUGACGCUGAGACGCGAAAGCGUGGGGAGCAAACA
rnacentral:rRNA from 1 species